rnacentral:rRNA from 1 species
GACAGAGGUGCCAAGCGUUAGGCGGAAUCACUGGGCUUAAAGCGUGUGUAGGCGGAAUGGUAAGUACCUUGUGAAAUCCCACAGCUCAACUGUGGAACUGCUCGGUAUACUGCUUUUCUUGAGCCACUUAGGGGCUGUCGGAACAAACGGUGGAGCGGUGAAAUGCGUAGAUAUAGGAAGGAACACCAGUGGCGAAGGCGACCACCUGGACUGAUACUGACACUGAGGUGCGAAAGCGUGGGGAGCAAACAGG